UACGGGGGGGGCAAGCGUUGUUCGGAAUUACUGGGCGUAAAGGGCUCGUAGGCGGCUUGCUAAGUCAGACGUGAAAGCCCUCGGCUCAACCUGGGAACUGCGUCCGAUACUGGCAGGCUUGAAUCCGGGAGAGGGAUGUGGAAUUCCAGGUGUAGCGGUGAAAUGCGUAGAUAUCUGGAGGAACACCGGUGGCGAAGGCGGCAUCCUGGACCGGUAUUGACGCUGAGGUGCGAAAGCGUGGGGAGCAAACAGG
rnacentral:rRNA from 1 species